UAGAGUUUGAUCCUGGCUCAGGAUGAACGCUGGCGGCGUGCUUAACACAUGCAAGUCGAACGAUGAAGCCCAGCUUGCUGGGUGGAUUAGUGGCGAACGGGUGAGUAACACGUGAGUAACCUGCCCUUAACUCUGGGAUAAGCCUGGGAAACUGGGUCUAAUACCGGAUAGGAGCGCCUACCGCAUGGUGGGUGUUGGAAAGAUUUAUCGGUUUUGGAUGGACUCGCGGCCUAUCAGCUUGUUGGUGAGGUAAUGGCUCACCAAGGCGACGACGGGUAGCCGGCCUGAGAGGGUGACCGGCCACACUGGGACUGAGACACGGCCCAGACUCCUACGGGAGGCAGCAGUGGGGAAUAUUGCACAAUGGGCGCAAGCCUGAUGCAGCGACGCCGCGUGAGGGAUGACGGCCUUCGGGUUGUAAACCUCUUUCAGUAGGGAAGAAGCGAAAGUGACGGUACCUGCAGAAGAAGCACCGGCUAACUACGUGCCAGCAGCCGCGGUAAUACGUAGGGUGCGAGCGUUAUCCGGAAUUAUUGGGCCGUAAAGAGCUCGUAGGCGGUUUGUCGCGUCUGUCGUGAAAGUCCGGGGCUUAACCCCGGAUCUGCGGUGGGUACGGGCAGACUAGAGUGCAGUAGGGGAGACUGGAAUUCCUGGUGUAGCGGUGGAAUGCGCAGA
rnacentral:rRNA from 1 species